CCGCCCUGUGACUAACGGCUGGAACCGCCUAAGACACCACCCCAGCCAGCAUGGCCGGCAGGAGCGCACCGCGCUGUCUCCCUCCAGGGAUCCGCACCGCCCUACAAUCCUGCUUUGUGCUGAGAUUGUAGUCCUGCAGGCGUACAACUAACAAGCUGGGUGCAGAUAAGAGACUACAGCUCCCCGCAUCCCAAGCAAAGGUCCCUCCUCUACGGAGCCCCUCCACGCGUCCACUGCGGUUCCGCCGUGCCAAGGGGAGCUUGGCUGUUCACGGGCCUCACCUGCUAGCGAGAAGAUAGCUUGGCCGGGCGGCUGAUCUCACCUUGUAAUUCUGACACUGUGUCUCCCGGGCUUGUCGGCUUCAUGACUUGUGCCCAAAGUUUGAUUUCUCGCAGACCAGGAGGACCCAUUGGACCCCCGGGCUGGCUGCAGGGCCCACACCUGGGUUAGACCUCGCACAGGGACGCUGCUGCCACUGUAAUAAAGCGUGCCUACACGCUUCUGAAACUGGUGUAGGAACAACCUCAGUUCUGUGAAAGGCGGACGCAGCAGGACAGAAUCUCCGUGGACAUCUGUCUGGAGGAGCAAUUUUACUGCGACAUUUUAAAGAAACAAAUUUAAUUGAUUUCCAAGGCUAGAGUGUGACAGAAAUCUAAAAGAUCAACUUCAUCGUGCAGGAAGGAGCAUAGAAAAAUAGAGAAAAGAAGAAAACAGCAAACCAUUCUGAGUACCGUGGAAACAAACUAAAAGUGGGCUUAGAAGGAAAACAGAGGAAGAAGGUCUGAGUAGUCCCAGGGACUCCAGAGGCCAAGAUGGGAAAGCCACCCAGGCGAGACAGGGGAGAUGGAAGCCACAGGGAAUCACUAUCACAUACCUCUGCUGGACCUGAAUGGUCCUGGCGCCAGCUAGAGCCAUCUGGUCGACCUUAGACAUGUCAAGGCAGGAGCCAUCUGAUCGACCUUAGACUUGGCAAGCUGGUGGCUAAGUCCAGUGCUCACUGCCGACAUCUGUCUCAAAAUAAACAAAAAGUCCAACAGUGAAUAUUUAACAAUAACAAAAAUAUAAUACCAAACAAUAUUAAAGACCAAUAAAUAAGUGGGAGUGAACAAAGGUAAAAGGUAACUAAUAUCACAAUUAAAAUAUUCUGCUAUCUCUCACUCUCUCUCUUCCCCUUUCCAUUUGUCACACCCAGGCUGGAAUGUGACAAAAAAAUAUAAAAGGUCAAUUUCAUCAUGCAGGAAUGAGUGUAGAAAAAGGGAGAAAAGAACAAAGAAGAAAAACAACAGCAAGUCUCUCUAAAACUUCAGUUAGUUUCACUGUAGAAAAAAAAAUUGAAAGUGGGGUUAGGAAAAAAAGGAAGGAGGAGGAUAAGUUCAGGUAGCCUGAGGGACUAGGGAAGCCAAGUGGGAAGACCACCUGGGUGACACUGGGAAGAUCGAGACCACAGUGAAUCAUGAUCACAUCCCUCUGCUGUACCUGAAUAGUACUUCCAAAGGCAGGAGCCAUCUGGUCAUCCUUAGUCAUGGCAAGGCGAGAGCCAUCUGGUUGACCUUAGAUAAGGUGAGAGCCAUCUGGUUGACCUUAGACUUGGCAAGCUGGCAGCUAAGUCCAAUCCUCUCAGCUGACAUCUUGGAGAGAGAGACAGACAGACAGACACAAACAGCGAGACAGGAGAAAAUCUUAAUUGUGUUAUUAAUUACUUUUCACCUUUGUUCACUCCAAACAGAAAAAAAUCCAACAGUGAAUAUUUAACAAUAACAAAGAUAUAACUACAAACAAUAUUAAAGACAAAUAAAUGGGAGUGAACAAAGGUAACAGGUAAUUAAUAUCACAAUUAAAUUCUUCUAAUCUCUUUCUAUCUCUCACUCUCGAUUUCUCUCUGUCAACUUCAUCAAGCAGGAAGGAGCACAGGAAAAUAUAAAGAGAAAACAAGAAAAAAAUAGAAAGUCACUCUAAGGACUGUGGAAACAAACUGAAAGUAAGGUUAGGAAAAACAAAGGAAGGAUGUCGAAAUAGUCUGAGGGAAUCAGGAGGCCGAGAUCAUCAGAAGGCCACCCUGUAGAGACCUGGAAGACGCCCAGGGCACAGUGAAUCACGAUCCGAUCCCUCUGCUGGACCUGAAUGGUACUGCUGCUGCUGAGAGCCAUCCUCUCGACCCUAGACUUACCAAGCUGGUGGCUAAAUACAACCCUCGUGGGAAGAUCUGUCUCAAAAGAAAAAAAUCCAACAGGGAAUAUUUAACAGUAACAAAGAACUAACCAUAACAAUAUUAAAGACAAAUAAAUAAGUGGGAGUGAACAAAGGUGAAAGGUCAAUUAUAUCACAAUUAAGAUCUUCUCUCUCUUUCUCCAUUUGUCACAACCAGGCUGGAUUGUUCCAAAAAAAAAAAAUCUAGAAGGUCAAAUUCAUCAUGCAGGAAGGAGGGUAAGAAUAUAUAUAGAGAGAAAAGAACAGAGAAGAAAUACAACAGCAACUCACUGUAAGUACUGUAGAAACAAACUGAAAGUUGGGUUAGAAAAAAAAAAAGAAGAAGGUCCAAGUAGUCUGAAGGACUCGGGAGGCCAAGAUGGGAAGUCCACCCAGAUGACACCGGGGAGAUCGAGGCUGCAGAGAAUAAGGAUCACAUCCCUCUGCUGGACCUGAAUGGUACUGAUGCUGUUGAGAGCCAUCUGGUCCUCAGACAUGGGAAGGCAAGAGCCAUCUGUUCGACCUUAGACAUGGCAAGAUGAAAGCUAAGUCCAGUGCUCGCUGCCAACACGUUUCUCAAAAUAAAUAAACAAAAAUUUCAACAGUAAAUAUUCAACAAUAACAAAGAAAUAAUAACAACUUUAAAGACCAAUAAGUAAAUAAGUGAAAGUGAACAAAGGUAAUAGGUGAUUAAUAUCACAAUUAAGAUCUUCUAUCUCUCUACUUCUCUGUUACUCUCUAGCUGUCUCUGUUUGUCAAACCCAUGCUAGAGUGUGAUUAAAAGAAAUAUAAAAGUCAACUGCUUCCUGCAGGAAGGAGCAUAGGGACAUAACGAGAGAAAAGAACAAAGGAAAAAAAAAAAAAACAGCAAGUCACUCUAUGUAUGUGGAAACAAACUGAAAGUGGGGUUAGAGAAAAAAAAGAAGGUCCGAGUAGUCUGAGGGACUCAAGUGGCUGAGAUGGGAACACCAGCCGGGUGAGACUGGAGAGAUCAAGGUUACAGUGAAUCACAAUUACCUCCCUCUGCUGGACCUGAACGGUAUUACCGGAGGCAAGAGCCAUCUGGUCGACCUUAGACAUGGCAAGGCAAAAGUCCUCUGGUUGACCUUGGUCCAAUGCUCGUGGCUGACAUCUCUCUCAAAAUAAGUAAGCAGAAAAUCCACCAGUGAAUAUUUAACAAUAAAAAAAGAUAACAUUGUGUCAAUAAAUAGGAGUGAACAAAGGUGAAAAGUAAUCGAUAACACAAUUAAGAUGUUCUCCUCUCUCUCUCUCUCUCUGUUUGUAACACCCAGACUGGAGUGGGUUCAUAUUUAUCAUGCUGGAAGGAGUGUAGAAAAAUAGAGGAAUGAAGAAGGAAAACAACGCAAGUCAUUCUAUGUACUGUGGAAACAAACUGACAGUGGGUUUAGAAAAAAACAACAGAGGAAGAAGGUCUGAGUAGUCCCAGGUAAUUGGGAAACCGAGAAGGGAAGACCACUCGGGUGAGACCAGGGAGAUCGAAGCCACAGUAAAUCACGAUCACAUCCCUCUGCUGGACCUGAACGGUACUGCCGCCUGCAAGAGCCAUCUGGUCGACCUUAGACAUGACAAGGCGAGAACCAUCUGGUCAACCUUAGACAUGGCACUCUUGUGGCUAAGUCCAACUCUAGUUGCUGAAAUACGUCUCAAAAAAACAAAAACAAUCCAACAGUAAAUGUUUUACAAAAACAAAAAAAUAAACAAUAUUAAAGAACAAUGUAUAAAUAAGUGGGAGUGAACCAAGGUAAAAGGUAAUUAAUAUCACCAUUAAGAUCUCCUCUCUUUCUCUUUUUCUCUCCAUUUGUGAUACCCAGGCUGGAGUGUGACAAAGGAAAAUCUAAAAGGUCAACUUCAUUUACAGGAAAGAGCAUAGGAAAACAGACAAAAGAACAAAGAAGAAAAACAAUAGCAAGUCACUCUAAGUACUGUGGAAAUAAACUAAAUGUCAGGUUAGGAAUAGAACAGUGAAAGAAGGUCCCAGUAGUCCCAAGGACUCGGGAGGCUGAGACACGAAGACUGCCCAGGUGAGACUACAGAGACUGAAGUUGCAGUGAAUCAUCACAUCCUGCUACUGGACUUGAACAGUACUGCUGCUGAUGAGAGCCAUCUGGGCGACCUUCGACAUGGCAAGGUGCGAGCCAUCUGAUCAGCCUUAGACAUGGCAAGGCAAGAGCCAUCUGGUCAACCUUAGAAGUGACAAGGGACAGCCACCUGGUCGACCUUUGACAUGGCAGGAUGACAGCCAUCUGGUCGACCUUAGAGAUGGGAAUGCAAGAGGCUUCAGGUCCACCUUCAACAUGGUAAGGCUAAAGCCAUCUUGUCCAGCUUAGACAUGGCAAGGCAAGAGCCAUAUGGUCCACCUUAGUCAUGGGAAGGCAAGAGCCAUCUUGUUGACCAUAGACAUGGUAAGGUGGGAGCCAUCAAGUCUGCCUCAGACAUAGCAAGGUGAGAACCAUCUGGUCAACCUCAGACAUGGGAAAGUGAGAGCCAUCUGAUCUACUUCAGACAUGGCAAGGCAAGAGGCAUCUUGACCUCAGACAUGGCAAGGAAAGAGCCAUCCGGUCGACUUUAGAGAUGGAAAUGCGAAAAGGGUUUGGGUCCACCUUAAGCAUGGAAAGGCAAGAGGCAUCUGGUCUAGUUUAGGCAUGGCAAGGCAAGAGACAUAUGGUUUACCUUAGUCAUGGGAAGGUGAGAGCCAUCUGGUCGACCAUAGACAUGGCAAGGUGGGAACCAUCAAGUCCACUUCAGACAUGGCAAGGUGAAAGCCAUCUUGGUCAACCUUAGACAUAGGAAGUUGAGAGCCACAUGGUCUACUUAAGGCAUGGCAAGGCAACAAGCAUCUGGUCAACCUCAAACAUGGCAAGGCAAGAGCCAUCUGGUCAACAUUAGAGAUGGUAAUGCAAGAGGCUUCAGAUCCAUCUUAGACAUGGUAAGGCAAGAAGCAUCUCAUCUAGCUUAGACAUGGCAAAUCAAGAGCCAUGUGGUCCACCUUAGUCAUGGGAAGGUGAGAGCCAUCUCGUUGACCAUAGACAGGGCAAGGUGGGAGCCAUCAAGUCCACCUCAGACAUGGCAAGGCGAGAGCCAUCUAGUCUGCCUCAGACAUGGCAAGGUGAGAGCCAUCUGGUUAACUUUAGACAUGGGAAGGAGAGCCAACUGGUUGGCCUCAGACAUGGAAAGGCUAGAGCCAUCCAGUCGACCUCAGAAAUGGGAAAGAGAGAGCCAUCUGGACAACCUUAAACAUGACAAAAUGAGAGCCAUCUGGUAGACUUUAGACAUAGAAUGGCAAGAGCCAUCUGGUCAAUCGUAGAUGUGGCAAGGUGAGAGCCAUCUGAUUGACCUAGACAUGGCAAGGUGAGAGACAUCUGGUCGACUGAAGACAAGGAAAAAUGAAAGCCAUCUGGUUGAGCUUAGACAUGGCAAGGCAAGAGUCAUCUGGCCGACCUUAGACAUGGAAAAAGAAGAGCCAUCUGUUUGACCUUAGACAUGGCAAGGCAAGAUCCAUCUGGUCAACCUUAGACAUGGCAAGGUGAGAGCCAUCUUGUUGAACUCACUCGAAGAGGAGACCCAUCUGGUCAACCUCAGACAUGGCAAGGUGAGAGCCAUCUGAUCGACCUUAGACAUGGCAAGGUGAGAGCCAUCUGGUCGACCUUAGAUAUGGCAAGGUGAGAAUCAUCUGGUCAAUCUUAAACAUGGCAAGGUGAGAUCCAACUUGACCUUAGAUAUGAUGAGGUGAGAACCAACUGUUCAAUCUUAGACAUGGCUAGGCAAGUGCCAUCUGGUCCACCUUAGAUAUGGCAAGGCGAGAGCCAUCUGGUCGACCUUAGACAUGGCAAGGUGAGAGCUGUCUGUUCAUCUUAGACAUGACAAGCUGGCAGCUAAAUGCGAUGCAUGCAGUCGACAUCCAUCUCAAAAUAAAUGAACCAACAGUAAAUAUAUAACAAUAACAAGGAAAUAAUAGUGAACAACCCUAAAGACCAAAUAAUUAAGUAGGAGUGUACAAUAAUAAAAGGUAAUUAAUGUCGCAAUUUAAAAAAACUCCUCUCUCUCUCUGUCUCUCUCUCUAUUUGUCACACACAGGGUGAAGUGUAACCAAAAAAAAAAAAAAAAUCCAAAGGUCAAACUCAGUUUGCAGGAAGGAGCAUAGGAGAAUAAAGGAUGGAACAAAGAAGAAAAAGAACAGCAAGUUACUCUGAGUAUUGUGGAAACAAACUGAAAUUAGAGUGAGAGAGAGAGAGAAAAAAAAAGAAGGUCCGAGCAAUCUCAGAUAUAUGAGAGGCCAAGAUGGGAAGAUCACUUGGGUAAGACUGGGAAGAUUGAGUCUGCAGUGAGUCACAGUCGCAUCAUUCUGCUGGAUUUGAAUGGUACUGCUUCUGGCCCAAGUUGUCUGGGCAACCUUAGACAUGGUAAGGCAAGAGCCAUCUGAUCAACAUUAGACAUGGCAAGGUGAAAGCCAUCUGGUCGACAGGGAUUCUAAUAGAAGACACUCUGGGCCGAUGGCAGACGUCUAAUAAUAGAGACAAAGGGUGAGCCCGGACAUUUUAAUGGGAGAGAAGCCUGGAUGACCCCAGGUAUUCUAAUGUUAGAAACACCUACGUGACUCCAGGCCUCCUAAUGGUGGAGACUCCCAGCCUACCCCAGGCAUUCUCUUGUGAGAGACUUCUGGCUGACCCCAGGCAGUCUAUUUAUGGAGACACCUGGGAGACCCCAGGCAUUCUGGGAGGAACUCCUGGCCAACCGCAGGGAGUCUAAUGAUAGAAACACCUGAACGACCACAGGAAUUCUAAUGGAAGAGACCCCUGGCAGGCCCCAGGCAGUCUAAUGAUAGAGGCACCUGGGUGGCCCCAGGUAUUCUAACCAGAGAGACUCCUGGCCAACCCCAGGCAGUCUAAUCAUAGAGACACCUGGGUGACCCCAGGCAUUCUAAUGAGAAAGACUCCCGUGUGACAGCAGGCAGUCUAAUGAUAGAGACACCUGGGUGACCCUAAGCAUUCUAAUAGGAAAGACUCCUGGCUGACCCCAGGCAGUCUAAUGAUACAGAUACCUGGGUGACCCCAGGCAUUCUAAUGUGAGAGAUGCCCUGCUACAUUCAGGAAGUCUAAUGAUAGAGACAAUUUGACGACCCCAGGCAUUCAAAUGGGAAGGCUCCCAGCCAACCCCAGGCAUUCUAAUGGCAGAGACUCCCCGCUGACCCUAGGCAUUCUAAUGAUAGAGACACCUGGGCCACCCCAGGUAUGGGAGAAACUCUCAGGUAAACUCAAGUAUUCUAACAGAGGUACUCCUGGCUGGCCCCAGGCAGUCUAAUGAUAGAGACAGCUGGGUGACCACGGGUGUUCUAAUGGGAGAGACUCCUGGUCAACCCCAGGCAGUCUAAUUAUUAAAGACACCUGGGCUACCCCAGACAUUCUAAUGGGAGCAACUCCCGACCAACCCCAGGCAGUCUAAUGAUAGAGACAUGUGGGCCAUCACAAGAAUUCUAAUGGAAGAGGUUCCUGGCUGACCCCAGGAGAGACACCAUUCUAAUGGGAGAGACUCUGGGCCGUUUCCAGGCUGUCUAAUGAUAGAGAAACCUGGGCGACUGCAGGCAUUUUAAUGAGAGCGGCUCCUGUCCGAACACCAGCAGUCUAAUGAUAGAGACACCUGGGCAACCCCAGACAUUCUAAUGGGAGAAAAUCCUGUGCAAUCCCAGGCAGUCUAAUUAUAAAGACACCUGGGCAACCCCAGGCAUUCUAAUGGGAGAGACCCCCGGCUGACACCAGGCAUUCUUAUGGGAAUGACUCCUGGCUGAGCCAGGCAGUCUAAAGAUAGAGACACCUGGGCAUACCAAAGCAUUCUAAUGGGAUAGACUAACGGCUGACCCAAGGUAGUCUAAUGAUAGAGACACCUGGAUGGCCCCAGGCAUACUAAUGGAAGAGACUCCUGGCUGACACCAAGCAUUCUAAUGAUAGAGACAACUGAUCAACCCUAGGCAUUGAAAUGGAAGAGACUCCUUCUCGAACCCAAGCAUUCUAAUAAUAGAGACAGCUAAUCAACUACAGGCAUUUUGGAGAAACUCCCGAUCAACCACAGACAUUCUAAUAAUAGAGACACCUGGGCGACCACAGGCAUUCCAAUGGGAGAGACUCCUGGCCAACACCAGGUGGUCUAAUUAUAGAGACACCUGGGUGACCCCACGCAUUCAAAUGGGAGAGACUCCUGGCCGACCCCAGGUGGUCUAAUUAUAAAAAAAAAAAAACCUAGGUGACCCCAGUCAUUCUAAUGGCAGAGACUAUCAGCUGAACCCAGGUAUUCUAAUGGGAGAGACUCCUGGCUGACCCUAGACUACCUUAGGUAGUCUAGUUAUAAACACACCUGGCCAAACCCAGGCAUUUUAAUGGGGAAGACUACUGGCCAAUCCAAAGCAUUCUAAUGAUAGAGACACCUAAGCGACUCCAGGCAUUUUAAUGGGAAAGACUCCCAGCCGACCUGAGACAUUCUAAUGGAAGAGAGCCUUGGUUGACCCCAGGCAAUCAAAGAAUAGUAACACCUGGGCGACUCCAGGCAUUCUAAUAGGAAAGAGUCCUAGAUGACACCAGGAAAUCUAAUUAUAAAAACACCAGGGUGACCCAAGGCAUUGUAAUGGGAGACACUCCUGGCAGAACCCAACAGUCUAACGAUUGAGACACCAGUGCAACUCAAAGCAUUGUAAUGGAAGAGACUCCCGCAGACACCAGACAGUCUAAUAAUAAAUUCACCUGGACGACCCAAGGCAUUCCAAUGGGAAAGACUCCCAGCCGACACCAAGUAGUCUAAUGAUAAAAACACAUGAGUGAUUCCCGGCAUUCUAAUGGGAGAAACUACCAGUUGAUCACAGGCUGUAUCAUGAUAGAGACACAUGCAUUUUAAUGGGAGACACUUCUGGCUGACCUGGGGCAGUCUAAUGAUGGAAACACCUGGGCAAAACCAGGUAUUAUAAUGGGAGAGACUGCUGGCUGAAGCCAGGCAUUGUAAUGAUAGAGACACCUGGGCAAUCCAGGCAUUCUAAUGGGACAGACCUUUGGCUGAUUCCAGGGUUUCUAAUAAUAGAGACACCUGGUCGACCCCUGGCUUUCUAAUGGGAGAGACUUGUGUGGACCGCCAGGCAGUCUAAUGAUAGAGACACCUCGGGGACCCCAGGAAAUCCAAUGGGAGAAACUUCCAGGUGACCCCAUUCAUUCUAAUGAUAGAGACACCUGGGCGACCAGAUGCAUUUUAAUGGAAGAGACUCCUGAACGACCUCAGGCAUUCUUAUGAUAGAGACAGUUGGGAGACCCUAGGCAUUCUAAUAAAUCGAACUCCUGGGCGAUCACAGGCAGUCUAAGAUUAGAGACACCUGGGUGACCACAGACAUUCUAAUGGGAGAGACUCCUUGCUGACCACAGGCAGUCUAAGGAUAGAAACACGUUAGCAUUCGCCAAGACACCUUGGCGAUCACAGGCAUUCUAAUGAAAGAGACUCAUGGCCGACCCUAGGCAGUCUAAUAAUAGACAUACUUGGGUGACCCCAAAAAUUCUAAUGUGAGAGACUCCCAGUUGACGUCAGGCAGUUUAAUAAAUGUGAGAGACUCCCGGCCGACCCCAGGUACUCUAAUGAUAGAAGAACCUGGGCCACAUCUGGCAUUCUAAUGGAAGAGACUCCUGGCCGACCCCAGGCGGUCUAAUGAUAAACCUGGGCGGCCCAAUGCAUUCUAAUGGGAAAAACUCUGGUCCAAACCCCAGCAUUUUAAUGGGAGAGACUCCUGGCUGACCCCAGGUGGUCUAACUAAAGAGACACCUGAGAGAACCCAGGCAUUCUAAUGGGAAAGACUACCGGCCAACCCCAGGCAUUCUAAUGAUAGAGACACCUUGUUGAGCCCAGUCUUUCUAAUGGAAGAGAAUCCCAUCCAACCCAAGACAGUCUAAUAAGACACCUGGGCGACCCCAGGCAUUCUAAAGAGACACCUAGGCGACUCCAGGCGAUAUUAUAGCAGAGACUCCCAGCCAACACCAGACAAUGAAAGAAACUCCCAGCGGAUGCCAGGCAGUCUAAUGAUAGAGACACCUGGGCAACCCCAGGCAUUGUAAUGGGAGAGACUCCGGUCCAAUCCCAGGCAUUCUAAUGAGAGAAACACCUGGCUGACCCCAGGCAGUCUAAUAAUAGAGAACCUGGGUGAACCCAGGAAUGCUACUGAAAGAGACUCCCGGCCAAUCUCAGGCAGUCUAAUGAUACAGACCUCUGUGCAACCCCAGGCAUUCUAAUAAUAAAGACUUCCAGCCGAACCCAGACAGUCUAAUGAUAGAGAGACCUUAACGUCCCCAGACAUUCUAACGAGAAGAACUUCUUGCUGACCACAGGCAGUCUAAUGAUAGAGACACCUGGACAACUCCGGGCAUUCUCAUGGGAGAGAAUCUUGGCCAAACCAAGGCAUUCUAAUUAUAGAGACACCUGGGUAAGCCCAGGCAUUCUAAUGGGAAAGACUCUUGGCCGAACCCAGGCAUUCUAAUGAGAGUCUCCUGGUUGACCCAAGGCAGUCUAAGGAUAGAAACGCCUGGGCGACUCCAGAAAUUCUUAUGGGAGAGACUCCUGGUUAAUCCCAGGCAGUCUAAUGAUACAGACACCUGGGCAACACGAGGAAUUCUAAUUAGAGAGACUCCUGGCCUAUCCAGACAGUCUAAUAACAAAGACACUUGGACAAACCCAGGUAUUCUAACGUGAGAGACUCACGGCCAACCCCAGGCAGUCUAAAUAUAGAAACACCUGGGAGACCCCUGGCAUUUUAAUGAAAAAGACUCCGGUCCGACCCCAGUCAGUCUAAUUAAAAAGACACCUGAGUGACCCCCGGCAUUCUAACAGGAAACACUCCUGGCUGACCCCAGGCUGUCAAAUUAUGGAGAUACAUUGUCUACCCCAGGCAUUUUGAUGGGAGAGAAUCCUGGCCAAACUCAAGCAUUUUAAUGGUAGAGACAACUGGGUGAACCCAGGCAUUGUAAGGGGAUAGGUUCUUGGCCGACACCAGGCAUUCUAAUGAUAGGAACAUCUUGUCAACCCCAGGCUUUCUAAUGGGAGAGACUCCCAUCCAAACCCAGGGAGUCUAAUGAUAGAGACACCUGGAAAGCAUUCAAAUGGAAGAGGUACCAGCUGACCCCAGGCAUUCUAAUGAUAGAGACACCUGAGCGACCAGUGGCAUUCUAAUGAUGGAGACAUUUGAGCGACCACAGGCUUUCUAAUGGGUGACACUCCUGGCUAAACCCAGUGUGUCUAAUGAUAGAGACACCUGGGAGACCCCAAACAUUCUAAUGGGAAGGCUGCCAGCCUAACCCAGGCAUUUUAAUGACAGAGACACCUGGUCGACCCCAGGCUUUCCAAUGGGAGAGACUUUCAUACAAACCAGGCAGUCUAAUAAUAGAGAAACCUGGUUGGUCCCAGACAUUACAAAGGGAGAGACUCCUGGCUGACCCCAGACAGUCUAAUGAUAGAGACAUCUGGUGACACCACACAUUCAAAUGAGAGAGACUCCCCACUGAGCCAAGGCAGUCUAAUGAUAGAGACACCUGGGCAAUCCCAGGUGUUCUAAUGGGAGAGACUCCCGACCGACCCCAGGCGUUCUAAUGAGAGAGACUUCUAGCUGACCACUGGCAGACUAAUGAUAAAGACACUGGGGUGAACCUAGCCAUUCUAACGGGAGAGACUCCCAGCUGACACCAGGCAGUCUAAUGAUAGAGACACUUGGGCGACAACAGGCAUUCUAAUGUGAAAGACUCCUGGCUGACUCAAAGCUGUCUAAUUAUAGAGACAGCUGCAUGAACCCAGGCAUUCGAGAGAAAGAUACCCCUGGCCGACCCCAGGCAGUCUCAUCAUAUAAAAACCUGGGCAAUUCCAGACAUUCUAAUGGGAGAGACUCUCGGCCAACACAAGGCAUUCUAAUGGGAGAGAUUCCUUGCAGACAGCAAGCAAUCUAACAAUAGGGACACCUGGGCAACUGAAGGCAUUGAAAUGAGAGAGACUCCUGGUCAACCCCAGGUAAUCUAAUGAAAGUAAAAACUGGGCGACCCAAGGCAUUCUAACGAAAGAUACUUUCAGCCAACACCAGGUGGCCUAGUGACAGAAACACGAGUGACCCCCAGAAUUUUAAUGGAAGAGACUCCUGGUUGAGCCCAGGCAGUCUAAUGAUAGAGACACCUGUGCAACCCUAUGCAUUCUAAUAAAAAAGAGUCACCACCGACCCCAGGAUUUCUACUGAUAGAGACCCCUGGGCAACCCCAGACAUUUUAAUGGGAGAGAUUCCUGGCCGACCCCAGGAAAUCUAAUAGGAGAAACUGCUGGCCUACCUAAGCAGUAUGAGCUUAGAGACACCUGGGCAUCCACAGGCAUUCCAAUGAGAGAGGAUUGCGCCAGCCCAAGGUAGUCUAAAAAUAGAGACAACUGGGUGACCUCAGGCAUUCUAAUGAAAGGGACCCCCUGCCAACUCCAGGUAGUCUAAUGAUAGAAACACCUGGGCGACCCCCGUCAUUCUAAUGGGAGAGACUCCUGGUCGACCCCAGACGGUCUAAUUAUAGAAACACCUGGGUGACCCCAGGCAUUCUAAUGAUAGAGACACAUGGGCGACUUCAGGCAUUCUAAUGGAAAAGACACCCUGCUUACCCCAGGCAUUCUAAUGAAACAGAUUCCUGGCUGAUAUUAGGCAGCCCUAUCAUAGAGGCAUCUAGGCUACCGCAGAAAUUCUAAUGGGAGAGACUACUAGGCGACUCCAGGCAGUCCAAUGAUACAGACACUUGGGUGACCCUAGGCAUUCUAAUGGCAGAGAACCCUGGCUGACCCCAGGCAGUACAAUAAUAGAGACCCCUGGACAACCCUAGGCAUUUCAAUGGGAAACACUCCCAGCUGUCCCUGAACAUUCUAAUGAUAGAGGAACCUUGGAGACCUCAGGCAUUCUAAUGAAAGAGACUCCUGGCUGACCCCAGGCAUUCUAAUGGGAGAAAUUGCUGGCCAACCUCAGGCCACCUAAUGAUAAAGACACCUGGGCGACCACAGGCAUUCUAAAGGGAGAGACUACCGGUCGACCACAGGCUGUCUGAUGAUAGAGACACCUGCGUGAGCCCAGGCAUUCUAAUAAUAGAGACGCGUUGGUGACCCUCAUCAUUUUAAUAAGAGAGAUUCCUGGGUGAACCCAGGCAUUGUCUUAAGAGAGACUCCUGACUGAAUUCAGGCAGCCUAAUUAUAGAGACACCUGGGUGAACCGAAGCAUUCUAAGGGAAGAGAUCCUUGACCAACAGCAGGCAGUCUUAUGAUAGAGACACCUGGGUGACCACAGGCCUUAUUAUGGGAGAGACUUUUUGCCGAACUUAGGCAGUCUAGUGAUAGAGACAGCUGGGCCACACUAGGCAUUCUUAUGGCAGAGACCCCUGACCAACCCCAGACAUUGUAAUUAUAGAGCAACAUGUUUGACCCCAGGCAUUUUAAUGGGAGAGACUCUCGGUCAACCCCAGGGAUUUUUAUGGGAGAGACUACUGGCCAACACAAGGUAGUCUAAUGAAAAAGACACCUGGGCAACCCCAUGCAUUCCAGUGGGAGAGACUCCUGGCCCAACCAAGUUAGUCUAAUAGGGACACCUGGGUAACCACAGGAAUUCUAAUGGGAGAGACCCCUAACCGACCUCAGGCAUUCUAAUGAUAGAAACACCUGGGCAACCACAGGCAUUCUAAUGGGGGAGACUCCCGGCCAACUUCAGCCAUUCUAAUGGGAGAGACUCCUGGCCGAACCCAAGCAGUCUAAUGAUAAAGACACAUGGGUGACCACAGGCAUUCUAACAGGAAAGACUCCAGGUAGACCCCAGGCUGUCUAAAGAUAGAGACACCUGGGCAACCACAGACAUUCUAAUGGGAGAUACUGCCAGCUGACCCCAGUCAUUCUAAUAAGACAGACACCUGGCUGACCCUGGGCAGUCUAAUGAUAAAGACAUCUGGACGACCCCAGGCAUUCUAAAGGGAGAAACUACUGGCCGACUGCAGGCUGUCUAAUGAUAGAGACAGCUCCUCGAGCUCAGGUAUUCAUGGGAGAGAUUCCCAACUGACAUUAGAAUGGCAGGCAUUCUAAUGAUAGAGACACCUGGGCGACCACAGGUAUUGUAAUGGGAGAGGUUCCCCAUCGUCCACACUCAUUGUAAUGAUGGAGGCACCUGAACGAUCUCAGGUAUUGUCAUGAUAGAGACACCUGUGCGACCCCAGGCACUCAAAUGGGAGAGACUCCCAGCAGACACCAGGCAGUCUAAUGAGAGAGAUUCCUGGCUGAACCCAGGCAGUCAAAUGAUAAAGACAUCUGGGCAAAACCAGGCAUUCUAAAGGGAGAGACUCCUGGCUAACCCCAGGCAGUCUAACAGUAGACACCUGGGCGACCUCAGUCAUUCUAAUGGGAGAGGCUCAGCCCACCCCAGUGAUUCUAAUGGGAGAGACUUGUCUGAUCCCAGGCAGUUUAAGGUUAGAGACUCCUGAGCAACACCCAGGCAUUCUAAUAUGAGAGACUCCCGGCUGACAUAAGGAAGUCUAAAGAUAGAGACACCUGAGCAACCAGAGGCAUUCUAAUGGGAGAGACUCUCAUGCGAUCCCAGGCAGUCUUAUGAUAGAGACACCUAGGCAAUCGCAGGCAUUUUAAUGGGAGAGACUCCCGGUCAUCCAGAGGCAUUGUAAUGAUGGAGACAUCUGGAAGAUGGCAAGCAUUGUAAUGAUAGGGACACCUGUGUGACCCCAGGCACACAAAUGGGAGAAACUCCCAGCCAACACCAGGCAUUCUAAUAAGAGAGAUUCCUGGCUGACCCCAGGUGGUCAAAUGAUAAAGACACGUAAGCGAAACCAGGCAUUCUAAUGAGAGAGACUCCUGGCUAACCCCAGGCAGUCUAAUAAUAGAGACACGUGGGCAACCCCAGUCAUUCUAAUGGGAGAGACUCCCAGCCACCCUCAGUGAUUCUAAUGGAAGAGACUCUUGUCUGACCCUAGGCAGGUGAGAUUCCUGGGCGACUCCAGGCAUUCUAAUAAGACAAAUUCCCAGCCCAAGCAAGACAGUCUAAGGAUACACAGCUGAGCAACAUCAGGCAUUUUAAUGGGAGAGACUCCUGGCUGAAUCCAGACAGUCUAAUUAUACAGACUCCUGGGUGACUGCAGGCAUUCUAAUGAAAGAGACUCCCAGCUGAACCCAGGCAGUGUGAUUAUAGAGACACUUAGGUGACCCCAGACAUUCUAAUGGGAGAGACUCCUGGAUGACCCCAUUCUAAUGAUAGAGACACCUGUGCGACCCCAGGCUGUCUAAUGAUAGAGACAGCUGGGGAACCUGAGGCAUUCUUAUGGGAGAGGCCCAGGGCCAACCCCAGGUAUUCUAAUGAUAGAGACACUGGGCGACACUAGACAUUUUAAUGAGAGAGACAACCAACCAGCCCAAGGCAGUCUAGUGAUACAAACACCUGGUCGACCCCAGGCAUUCUACUGAAAGAAACUCCUGGCCAAACCCUGGCAUUCUAAUGAUAGAGACAAGUGAGCAUUUUAGUAAUAGAGACACCUGGGCUACAACAGGCAUUUUUUUAUGUGAGAGACUCCUGGCAACCCCAGGCAUUCUAAUGGAGAGACUCCUGGCUGACCACAGGCAGUCUAAUGAUAGAGACACUUGAGUGACCCCAGACAUUAUAAUGGAAGAGACUCCUGGCCGACAUCUUGCAGUCUAAUUUAAGUGACAACUGAGUGAACACAGGCAUUCUAAUGGGAGAGACUCCUGGCUGACCAAGGCAGUCUGUGGAUAGAGACACCUGGGUGACCCCAGGCAUUCUAAUGGGAAAGAUUUCUAGUUGACCACUGGCAGUCUAAUUAUAGAGACACAUGGGAGACCCCGGGCAUUCUAAUGAAAGAGACUCCUGGCCAACCCCAGGCAAUCUAAUGAUAGAGGCACCUGGGCGACCCAAGGCAUUCUAAUGGGAGAGACUCCUGGCCAACCUCAGUGAUUGUAAUGGAAAAGACUCUUGUCCGCCUUCAGGCUAUCUAAGGAUAAAAGCUCCUUGGUACCUCCAGGCAUUCUAAUGAGAGGGACUCCCAGCCAAAUCCAGGCAGUCUAAUGAUAGAGACACUUGGGUGACCCCAGGCAUUUUAAUAGGAGAGACUCCUGACCUGCCCCAGGCAGUUUAAUUUUACACACUUCUGGGAGACCCCAGACAUUGUAAUGAAAAAGACCCCCGGCCAACCCCAGGCAGUGUGAUGAUAGAGACAAUUGGGCUACUCCAGGCAUUCUAAUGGGAGAGGCUCCCAGACAACCUUAGGCAUUCUAAUGAUAGAGACACCUCUGUGACUCCAGACAGUCUAAUGGGAGUGACUGCAGUCAAACCCACACAUUCUAAUGGGGGAGACUCCCUGCCAACCUCAGGCAGUUUAAUGAUAGAGAUACCAGGGCGACCCCAGGCAUUGUAAUGAGAGCGACUGCUUGCUGACCUAAGGCAAUGUAAUGAUAGACACACCUGGGAGACCCCAGGCAUUCUAAUGGGAGAGAUUCCUAGUUGACCACAGUCAGUCUAAUUAUACAGACAGCAGGGCUACCCCAGGCAUUCUAAUGGGAUAGGCUCCUGGCCCACCCCAGGCAGUCUAAUGAUAGAGACAUAUAGGCGACCACAAGCAUUCUAAUGAAAGAGACUCCUGGCUGACCCCAGGCAGUCUAAUGAACAGAAGAAACUCCUGGCCAAACCCAGGCAGUCUAAUUAUGCAGAGUCCUGGGAGACCCCAGGCAUUCUAAUGAAAAAGACUCCCAGCCAAACCCAGGCAAAGUGAUAGAGAAACUUGGGUGACUGCAGGCUUUCUAAUGAGACAGACUCCUGGCUGAUCCGAGGCAUUCUAAUGUUAGAGACACUUGGGCGACCCCAGGCAUUAUAAUAUAAUGAUAGAGACACCUUUGCCACCCCAGGCAGUCUAAUGAUAGAGAUACAUUGGCGACCCCAGGGAUUCUAAUAAGAGAGACUCUUGCUUAAACACAGUGAUUCUAAUAGAAGAGACUUGUGUCCUACUCGAGGCAGUCUAAGGAUAGAGACUCCUGGGUGAUCCCAGCAUUCUAAUGGGAGAGACUCCUGGCAGAACCCAGGGAAUCUAAUGAUAGAGACACCAGGGUGACCCCAGACAUUCUAAUGGGUGAGAUUUUUGGCCGACAAUAGGCAGUUCAAUUAUACAGACUCCUGGGCAAUCCCCAGCAUUUUAAUGGGAGACACUACCCAUGGACCCCAGGCAGUCUAAUUAUAGAGACAAUUGAAUGACACCACACAUUCUAAUGGAAGACACUUCCGGAUGACCCAGACAUCCUAAUGAUAGAGACACUUGUGCAACCCCAGCCAGCCUAAUGAUAGAAACACCUGGGCGACUUUAGGCAUUCUUACGGGAGAGACCUCCAGCUGACCCCAGUAAUUCUGAUGAUAGAGACCCCUGGUUGACCCCUGUCAUUCUGAUGGGAGAAACUCCUGGCUGACACAAUGUAGUCUAAUGGUAGAAACAUCUUGGCGACCCCAGGCAUUCUAAUGGGAGAGACUCCUGACAAAACUUUGGCAUUCUAAUGAUAAAGACAAGUGGGCAACCCCAAGCAUUGUAAUGGUAAAGACACCUGGGUGAUCCCAGGAAUUCUAAUGUGAGAGACUCCUGGCCAACCCCAGGCAUUCUAAUAAAGAGACUUCUGUCUGACCACAGGCUGUCUAGUGAUAGAGAUACCAGGGUUACUCCAGGCAUUCUAAUGAAAGAGACUCCUGGCGGACCCCAGACAGUCUAUUUAAAGUGAUAACCUGGGCCACCACAGGCACUCUAAUGGAAGAGACUCCUGGCUGACCCCAGGCAUUCUAAUGGGAGAGAAUCCUGGCCGAACCCAGGCAGCCAAUGGAUAGAGACACCUGAGCAAACCCAGGCAUUCUAAUGAAAGAGACUCCCGGCCGACCCCAGGCAGUCUAAUAAUAGAGACACGUGAGUGGACACAGGCAUUCUAAUAGGAGAGAUUCCUGGCUGACCCAAGCAGUCUAAUUAUAGACACCUGGGUGACUCCAGGCUUUCUAAUAGGAGAAACCCCAGGCUGACCCUAAGCAGUCUGAUGAUAGAGGCUUCUUGGUGACGGCAAGCAUUCUAAUGUGAGAGACUCUCGGCCAACCCCAGGCAUUCUAAUGAUAGAGACAUUUGGGAGCCCCCAGUUAUUUUAAUGAUAGAGACACCUGAGCGACCCUAAGCAUUCUAAUGGGAGACAACAAGGCUGAAACCAGGCUUUCUAAUGGGGAGACACCUGGCUGAUCCCCAACAGUCUAAUCAUAAAAAACACCUGGAUGACUCCAGUCAUUUUAAUGGCAGAGACUCCCGGUCUACCCCAGGUGUUUUAAUGGGGAGACUUCUGACCGACCCCAGGCAGUCUAAUCAUAAAGACAGCUGGGCUAAGCCAGACAGUCUAAUGAAAGAGAUUGCCAGCCGAACACUGGCUGUUUAAUUAUAAAGACACUUGGGCAAUCCCAGGCGUUCCAAUGGAGGAGACUCCCAGCUGACCACAAGCAGUCUAAUGGUAUUGACACCUGGAAGUCCCAAGACAUUCUAAUGGAAGAGAUUCCCGUCCUACCACAGGCAUUCUAAUGAUAGAGAUACCUGGGCCACCCCAGGCAUUCUAAUGGGAGAGACUCCUGGCUGACAACAGACAGUCUAAUGAUAGAGAAACUUGGGCGAACCCAGUAUUCUGAUUGGAGAGAUUCUAGGCAGUCUGAUAGUGACAACUGGGCAACUACAGGCAUUCUAAUGGGAGAGGCUAAUGGCUGACCACAGGCAUUUUAAUUGGAGAGAAUCCUGACUGACCCAAGGAAAUUUAAGGAUAGAGACACCCGGGUGAUCCCAGACAUUCUAACGGGAGAGACUCCUGACCGACACCAGACAGUCUAAUUACAGAGACACUUGGGCUAUCCCAGGCAUUCUACUGAAAGUGACUCCCGUUUGACUCCAGGCAGUCUAAUGAUAGAAAUACCUGGUUGACUUCAGGCAUUGUAAUGGGAGAGACCCCCAUCCAAUCCCAGGCAGUCUAAUGAUAGAGACAGCUGGGCGACCCCAGGCGUUCUAAUAGAGUAUCGGCUAACCACAGGCAGUCUAAUGAGAGAGACAACGUGGAGACCUGAUUCAUUCUAAUCAAAGAGACUCCCAGCGAACCCCAGUCAUUCUAGUAAAAGAGACACUUGUCCGACUUCAGGCAGUCUAAGUAUAGAGACUGCGGGGCAACCCCACACAUUCUAAUGGGAGAGAGUCUGGGCCAAACCCAGGCAGUCUAAUUAUAGGACACGUGAGCGACCAAACUCAUUCUAAUGGGAGAAACUCCUGGCGGGCCCCAUGCCACCUAAUGAUAGAGACACUUGGACGACCCCAGGCAUUCUAAUGGGAAAGAUUCUUGGCCGACCCCAUGCUGCCUAAUGAUAGAGACAUCUGAGUGAACCCAGGCAUUCUAAUGAGAGAUGCUCCUUGCCUAUUCCAGGCAUUCUAAUGACAGAGACACCUGGGCAACCCCAGGCAUUGUAAUGAUACAGACAUGUGGGCGAUUUCAGGCAUUCUAAUGAAAGAGACUCCCUGCGGACCCAGGCAUUCUAAUGAGAGAGACUCUCAGCCGAUCUCAGGCAGUCUAAUGAUAGAGACACUGGAGUGACCAAAAGGAUUUUAAUAAAAGAGACUACCGGGCAACCACAGGCACAGACAAUCUAAUAAUAGAGACACCUGGGUGACUUUAGACAUUUCAGUGGGAGAGACUCCCAGCCGGCCCCGAGCAAUCUAAUGAUAGAGACACCUGGGAAACCUCAUGUAUUCUAAUGGGAGAAACUUUUGGCUGGCCCCAGACAUUCUAAUGGGAGAGACUGCUGGCCGACCCCAGGCAGUCUAAUGAUAGAGACACCUUGGCCACCCCCGUAUUCUAAAGGGAGAGACUAUUGACAGUCCCCAGAUUUUUUAAUGAUACAGACACCUGCGUGAGCCUAAGCAUUUUAAAAGGAGAGACUCUUGGUGACCACAGACAUUCUAAUAAUAGAGACACCUUGGCGAUUCCAGUCAUUCUAAUAGGAAAGACUCUCUUCUGAACCCAGGCAUUGUCUUGGGAGAUAAUCCUGGCUGAACCCAGACAGUCUAAUUAUAAAGACACCUGGGCAAGCCUAGGCAUUCUAAUGGGAGAUACCUCCCCAGUGUCCCCAGGCAGUCUAAUGAUAGAGACACCUUGACGACCACAGGCAUUAUUAUGAGAGACACACUUUGCCAAACUCAGGCAGUCUAAUGCUAGAGACAAUUGGGCGACAAGCAUUCUAGCGGGAAAAACUCCCGGCUGACCCCAGGCAUUGUAAUAAAAGAAAAGCCUGAGUGAUCCCAGCCAUUUUCAUGGGAGAGACACUUGUUCGACCCCAGGCAUUCUUAUGGGAGGGACUACUGGCCAACACCAGACAGUCUAAUAAAAAAGACAUGUAGAUGACCCCAUGCAUUCUUUUUUUUUCACACUUUAAAUACUUUAUUUAUAUAAAAACUCAUUUGUUUUUAAAAGCAUUAACAAGACAGAAAGAAAAGAGAAAAAGUAUGGAGCAGAACACAAGCCCGUUAGCAGUGUUCGGUGGGAAGGUGGGAUUUUUGGUUCUCUGGAAUUGAAUGUUUAGUGUUUUUAUAAACAAAAGAGGAAAAAAAAGUUAAAGGUCCCCAAAAGCCCAUGGCUAUCCUAUUACCCAUACCCCACUGAGAAGGGAGGGGGCAGGGAUAGCAUUAGGAGAUAUACCUAAUGCUAAAUGACGAGUUAAUGGGUGCAGCACACCAACAUGGCACAUGUAUACGUAUGUAACAAACCUGCACGUUGUGCACAUGUACCCUAAAACUUAAAGUAUAAUAAUAAUAAAAUUAAAUA
rnacentral:lncRNA from 10 species